GGCGGACGGGUGAGUAAUGCUUGGGAAUAUGCCUUAUGGUGGGGGACAACAGUUGGAAACGACUGCUAAUACCGCAUGAUGUCUACGGACCAAAGUGGGGGACCUUCGGGCCUCACGCCAUAAGAUUAGCCCAAGUGGGAUUAGCUAGUUGGUGAGGUAAUGGCUCACCAAGGCGACGAUCCCUAGCUGGUUUGAGAGGAUGAUCAGCCACACUGGGACUGAGACACGGCCCAGACUCCUACGGGAGGCAGCAGUGGGGAAUAUUGCACAAUGGGCGCAAGCCUGAUGCAGCCAUGCCGCGUGUGUGAAGAAGGCCUUCGGGUUGUAAAGCACUUUCAGUAAGGAGGAAAGGUUAAGUGUUAAUAGCACUUAGCUGUGACGUUACUUACAGAAGAAGCACCGGCUAACUCCGUGCCAGCAGCCGCGGUAAUACGGAGGGUGCGAGCGUUAAUCGGAAUUACUGGGCGUAAAGCGUAC
rnacentral:rRNA from 1 species